rnacentral:rRNA from 3 species
UGGGGAAUAUUGCACAAUGGAGGGAACUCUGAUGCAGCGACGCCGCGUGAACGAAGAAGGCUUUCGAGUCGUAAAGUUCUUUUAUAUGGGAAGAUAAUGACGGUACCAUAAGAAAAAGCCCCGGCUAACUACGUGCCAGCAGCCGCGGUAAUACGUAGGGGGCUAGCGUUGUCCGGAAUCACUGGGCGUAAAGGGUUCGCAGGCGGAAAUGCAAGUCAGGUGUAAAAGGCAGUAGCUUAACUACUGUAAGCAUUUGAAACUGCAUAUCUUGAGAAGAGUAGAGGUAAGUGGAAUUUUUAGUGUAGCGGUGAGAUGCGUAGAUAUUAAAAAGAAUACCGGUGGCGAAGGCGACUUACUGGGCUCAUUCUGACGCUGAGGAACGAAAGCGUGGGUAGCAAACAGG